UGCCUGGAACAGGAGCUGCUGUGGAGGCCAGGCCAGGCCAUGGGGUGAAGCACCCUGAGGACUGGUGCUGCCUGAGCAUCGGGGGUCAGGGGGCCCCGCCCGGCUGCCACACGGACUGCCGUGGCAUGCGGGGCCCACCCGAGUCUUCUGGGGGCUGCAGCGGCUGGCCGUGCGAGACCAAAGUGGACAGGCUCCCACCUGGCGCUCUCCUCCGCGCACCCUUCCUUCGAGGUGGACAGCUGCUCUGGGCCGAAUCACGAACGUUGAUCUGUGGGGUCCACACACAGGAACUCAAGUCAGCAUCUGCUGCCUCACUGAACAGAUCCGAAGGAACAGGCAAGGCAAGGCGCCACGUUGCUGCGAAUACGCCGCAUCCUC